rnacentral:rRNA from 1 species
AUUGAACGCUGGCGGCAUGCCUUACACAUGCAAGUCGAACGGCAGCACGGGUGCUUGCACCUGGUGGCGAGUGGCGAACGGGUGAGUAAUACAUCGGAACGUACCUUAUCGUGGGGGAUAACGCAGCGAAAGUUGCGCUAAUACCGCAUACGCCCUGAGGGGAAAAGCGGGGGGCCGUAAGGCCUCGCGCGAUUAGAGCGGCCGAUGUCUGAUUAGCUUGUUGGUGGGGUAAAAGCCCACCAAGGCGAUGAUCAGUAGCUGGUCUGAGAGGACGAUCAGCCACACUGGGACUGAGACACGGCCCAGACUCCUACGGGAGGCAGCAGUGGGGAAUUUUGGACAAUGGGGGCAACCCUGAUCCAGCAAUGCCGCGUGAGUGAAGAAGGCCUUCGGGUUGUAAAGCUCUUUUGUCAGGGAAGAAACAGCAGCUCUAACACAGUCUGCGAAUGACGGUACCUGAAGAAUAAGCACCGGCUAACUACGUGCCAGCAGCCGCAGUAA